ACUCCUACGGGAGGCAGCAGUGGGGAAUAUUGGACAAUGGGCGCAAGCCUGAUCCAGCCAUGCCGCGUGAGUGAUGAAGGCCUUAGGGUUGUAAAGCUCUUUUGUCCGGGACGAUAAUGGCGGUACCGCAAGAAUAAGCCCCGGCUAACUUCGUGCCAGCAGCCGCGGUAAU
rnacentral:rRNA from 1 species